UACGAAGGGGGCUAGCGUUGCUCGGAAUUACUGGGCGUAAAGGGCGCGUAGGCGGAUAGUUUAGUCAGAGGUGAAAGCCCAGGGCUCAACCUUGGAACUGCCUUUGAUACUGGCUAUCUUGAGUUCGGGAGAGGUGAGUGGAAUGCCGAGUGUAGAGGUGAAAUUCGUAGAUAUUCGGCGGAACACCAGUGGCGAAGGCGACUCGCUGGCCCGAUACUGACGCUGAGGCGCGAAAGCGUGGGGAGCAAACAGG
rnacentral:rRNA from 1 species